rnacentral:tRNA from 1 species
UGGAUCACCUCCUAACAGGGAGACAAAAAACUGAUCGUGAUGUCUGAGUUAUUUAAUCUCAGGCCAUGAUCCUGUCACCUUAGGUCGAUCGGUACCUCAAUUUACUAAUCAAAUUGAUUUAUAAAUUCAGUUCCUAAACUUGUCUAGGUCACACCCACAAAGGGUUACUCCUGGGCCAUUAGCUCAGGUGGUUAGAGCGCACCCCUGAUAAGGGUGAGGUCCCUGGUUCAAGUCCAGGAUGGCCCAUUCGGCGUUGGGGGUAUAGCUCAGUUGGUAGAGCGCCUGCUUUGCAAGCAGGAUGUCAGCGGUUCGAGUCCGCUUACCUCCACUGAUCCAUUUCCUAAAAGCCCAUUACAAGGAGAACAACUUGCGGAGAUGUGAUUUAGAUUAGUUUUGUCUGACAUUGAACCUAGCUUCUUAUCAUUCCUAGAUCUAAUUUUAUAGAUAAGGUUGACAGGAUGCUGGGCUCACUGAAAUUAUUUAAUUUCAGUUUAGUUCAGUAGAACCUUGACAACUGCAUAGGUAAGUUUGGAAAGAAUAAAGCAUCUCAUAGAUGUAUUAUUCUUUAAAUUAAGCACUUAAUUGCUGCUUUUUUAUAAGAAUAAUCUUCAAUUCUAUAGCGAUAGCUGAGACUCUAUAAUUUAUUUAUAGAGAUUAUUUGGUCAAGCUACAAAGGGCUCACGGCGGAUACCUUGGCACACAGAGGCGAUGAAGG